rnacentral:rRNA from 1 species
UACGUAGGGCGCAAGCGUUGUCCGGAAUUAUUGGGCGUAAAGAGCUCGUAGGCGGCUUGUCACGUCGGGUGUGAAAGCCCGGGGCUUAACCCCGGGUCUGCAUUCGAUACGGGCAGGCUAGAGUGUGGUAGGGGAGAUCGGAAUUCCUGGUGUAGCGGUGAAAUGCGCAGAUAUCAGGAGGAACACCGGUGGUGAAGGCGGAUCUCUGGGCCAUUACUGACGCUGAGGAGCGAAAGCGUGGGGAGCGAACAGG